rnacentral:rRNA from 1 species
GAUGAACGCUGGCGGCGUGCCUAAUACAUGCAAGUCGAGCGAACAGAUGAGGAUCUUGCUCCUCUGACGUUAGCGGCGGACGUGUGAGUAACACGUGGAUAACCUACCUAUAAUACUGGGAUAACUUCGGGAAACCGGAUCUAAUACCGGAUAAUAUAUUGAACCGCAUGGUUCAAUAGUUAAAGACGGUUUUUCUUUCACUUAUAGAUGGUUCCGCGCCGCAUUAGCUAGUUGGUAAGGUAACGGCUUACCAAGGCAACGAUGCGUAGCCGACCUGAGAGGGUGAUCGGACAAACGGGAAGUGAGACACGGAAAAGAGUACUACGGGAGGGAGAAGUAGGGAAGAUGACGCAAUGGGCGAAAGACUGACGGAGCAAAGCCGAGUGAGAGAUGAAGGUCUUCGGAUCGUAAAACUCUGUUAUUAGGGAAGAAAAAAUGUGUAAGUAAAUAUGCACGUAUUGACGGUAACUAAUAAGAAAGCAACGGCUAACUACGUG